GAGAUAUCGCGACAGACGGUUCGGCUUCCACUCGUUACAUUAUGCUAUGAGGUAUGUGUCGAUGAUAUCGCGUGUGUACCCAAAAGAUGACGGGAUCUCCCGCGUAGGCGUACUGUUUACAAUUUCCGCCGCAGAUUUUACAAUCGACAAUCGCCGUCGUGUAACGCGGGACGCUAUAACCCUGGCGACGUCUCCUUCGCGGUCUGCGACU